UACAGAGGUCUCAAGCGUUGUUCGGAUUCAUUGGGCGUAAAGGGUGCGUAGGUGGCGCCGUAAGUCGGGUGUGAAAUUUCGGAGCUUAACUCCGAAACUGCAUUCGAUACUGCGGUGCUUGAGGACUGGAGAGGAGACUGGAAUUCAUGGUGUAGCAGUGAAAUGCGCAGAUAUCAGGAGGAACACCGGUGGCGAAGGCGGGUCUCUGGGCCGAAAUUGACGCUGAGGAGCGAAAGCGUGGGGAGCAAACAGG
rnacentral:rRNA from 1 species